rnacentral:rRNA from 1 species
GAUGAACGCUGGCGGCGUGCUUAACACAUGCAAGUCGAACGAAGCACCUCUCCCGAAGAUUGACCCAGCUUGCUGUAGAAUGAUUCAUUUGAGGGGACUGAGUGGCGGACGGGUGAGUAACGCGUGGGUAACCUGCCUCAUAGAGGGGGACAACAGUUGGAAACGACUGCUAAUACCGCAUAGUAAGAAGAAUUCGCAUGUUUUCUUCUUGAAAGUUUUAUCGCUAUGAGAUGGACCCGCGACUGAUUAGCUAGUUGGUAAGGUAACGGCUUACCAAGGCGACGAUCAGUAGCCGGCUUGGGAGAGUGAACGGCCACAUUGGGACUGAGACACGGCCCAAACUCCUACGGGAGGCAGCAGUGGGGAAUAUUGCACAAUGGGGGAAACCCUGAUGCAGCGACGCCGCGUGAGUGAAGAAGUAUUUCGGUAUGUAAAGCUCUAUCAGCAGGGAAGAUAAUGACGGUACCUGACUAAGAAGCCCCGGCUAACUACGUG